UGAAGCCCGCGUGCCUACAGCCUGUGCUCCACAACGAGAGAAGCCACCGCAAUGAGAAGCCUGCGCACUGCGGCGAGGAGUGGGCCCCGCUCACUGCAGCUGGAGAGGGCCCGUGCGCAGCGGCGAAGACCCAACGCAGCCAAAGUUUCACCACAGAGGGGCACUUCCCCAGGCCGGUCCUGUGGGAACUUCCGUUUCCAAUUAAUUUACCUGACAAGGUACCCACACCCGGAGGUGGGCCAAGAGAACACAGAGCCAUGAUCUGCUGUGAAGCCCAGGUUCUCAAGUGACUCACCGCUGUGUUUUCGCCUCUGGGAGCUGUGUGGCGGCCUCUCCCAGGCUGUCCUGCCCAAAAGCGAGAUAUCGUCAUUCAGAUUCUGUAAGCCUGGAAAAGAAGGCGAGUAGGGAAAGAAGGCUCCAGUGGACAUAUGGUGACAACUUUUUCGUUCGUAAAUGUCCCAUUUUUCUGAUUAUUAAAGUAACAUAUACUCAUUUUGGACCAUCUUGUAAAUACAGAAAGUAAGAAAAAGAGAGUCAAAAUAGCUUAGAACCCCUGAAAAAAUAUGGACGGAAACCAUUAGAACCCUUUCUUGCUCCACAAAGUCGGCGCUCCCUCCCGGGUGAUGGGUCCAUCUCCAGCCUCUCCCCUCGUGGUCCAGCAGCAGCACGUUUUCCAUCUCCAGCCCCUGGCAUGCGCUGCGCUCAUCCUCUUUACCUGGUUAUCCCCACUUACCCUUUGAUCUCAGCUAGGAGAAGCCUUCUCUAACUCCCCUAUAAAAUCGGUCCUCCUGUUAUCUCUUCCCCUAACACCAUGCACCUCUCCUUUGGAGCACUUGUCCAGUUGAAAUUUUAGUUUGUGUGAUUAUUUGUUUGACAUCUAUCUUCAUGCUUAAACUGUAGGUUUUGUGAGGGUGGCGUCCAUGCCUUUUUUUUUUAAAGACCAUUGUAUCCCAGUGCCUAGCACAAUGCUUGCUUGCUUCCUCGUCUAACUUGACCAAACCCUCCCCAUCUUUAAGGUUAAGCCUGAAUUCCACACCCUUUCCCUGUGCCUUCAGUAAUUCUCUCUUUCUCUCAUUUCCUACUAAUUUGUAUCCAGUUCUACAUGACUGGCACGGAAUCGUUCUCUAAAUGGGUCACAUUCCUAGGUGACGCUUUCAGCAAGUGCUAACCUGACUUCCUGCUUCCCUCUCUUCCUCCACCCAUUAACAAAUAUUCCUGUGCACCUACUGUGUGCCUGGCACUGUUCUAGGGCCGAGAGCAGACAAGUUCUUCUCUAACAGGAAGCCAGCAUUUUAGCAGGGGAAGACAGCCAUCACCAGAUCAAUGAAUAAAUAAGGACAGUAAUUUCAGAUAUGAUUGAGUGCUGUGAAGAACCAAAGCCAGGUAGUAGGGUAGGUGUGAGAACAGGGGCUUGUAAACACUUCCUGGUGAUUCCAGCAAUGGUGGUUAUAAAGCGUCACCAUGCAGGAGUGAGGUUUAGGGGGAAAAAUCUCAACUAACGAAUCUCUACCUUGUAAAUUACUCUCCUCCACCUUUCCAUUCCAUCCCAUAUUAUAGUCGUGAUUUUUAAAAAGGAAAAUAUUUUUUUCACUUCAUAAUUGCUUGUUUAUAAGAAUUUUCUGGCAUCACAGGCACUGCACAAAUUCUGUUUCAUACAAUAAUUCACUCAGCAGAGGGAGCUCAUGCUUUAAUUUUGGGAAGUUGGACAGAAAGCAAGAUUCUUUAAAAAGAACCUGAAAUAAAUGCUGCAACUCUCAUUUUAAAUAAGGUUUUCUUUGAGUACUUCUUGGAGCUAAGACCAUUUGACUAAUACAUAAAUAGAUGUGACUGAUGAAUUCAUUUUGGGGAAGAAUUUUCUUUAAUAAGGUUCUGUUUUACAUAUCAAAUAGGCUAAUUUAGAACAGGUAUCCCAGCUCAGGAGUCUAAGGAUUCAUCUAGAAAGAAGACAGCUGUCCACUUGUCCACCUUUCUGUUAAAUUGCACUCUGAACUCAGAACAUGAACUUAUUUGACUCAUUCUAACAUGACUGUGAUUUGACACUGAAUGUGUGCAUGUUGAGGUCCCUGCCUUUGAAAUUAUAAAACAGAUAUUUAUUUAGACUUCAAAGAAUGUUUACUACAACAUGAGCCAAGGUCAAAGGCAGAGUGAAGAUUGAGAGAAUGAGUUAAUCUCUUAAAGAGCCAGAACCAUGAAGUUGACUCAGCAGUUCUGAAACCACAGGUGAAAUCAGCAGCAGUAACAGCUGGGGUUUUGUGUGUGUAAACUACAAUUUUCAGUUUCCCAGAGGACUACCAUAAUGACAGAAAAGGUGUAUUAGGUAGACUUUCUCUUACUGUACAUAUCUGAUUAGUAAUUCUGCAUUCUAAUUCUCAUUUCUACAAGAUAGAAAGCAACAUUUAAAAACACACUGUCUUAUUAGCAAAGUCAAACAUUUAUUAAUAGAAAAUUGAGGAAAAAAACAUUAAGAAGAGCAUAAAAAACACAAGAUAUUUAUUUUAGAUUAGCACUUGCAACUUUAUAUCUAGCUUUAAAAUUAAUGUAUGCAGUGUGGGGUUAUUUUGCUCUGUUUUUAAAAUUGACGUAUAGUUGAUUUACAAUGUUGUAUUAAUUUCUGCUGUAUAGCA